UACGGAGGGUGCGAGCGUUGUUCGGAAUCACUGGGCGUAAAGCGCGCGUAGGCGGCCUGACAAGUCCGUAGUGAAAUCUCCCGGCUCAACCGGGAGGGGCCUGCGGAUACUGCCGGGCUUGAGUGCCGCAGAGGAAGGUGGAAUUCCCGGUGUAAUGGUGAAAUGCGUAGAUAUCGGGAGGAACACCAGUGGCGAAGGCGGCCUUCUGGGCGGUAACUGACGCUGAGGCGCGAAAGCGUGGGGAGCGAAC
rnacentral:rRNA from 1 species